CCAUAAUGUACAAAAUAAUAUGGUUACAACAUUUUCUUCUAGGGACAAACAUGAUCCCAAGUUCAGCUCCACAGGAAGUUGACAAGCAUGAGAAACAACAGGGCAAAGGUGUUCCAGAAAGGCAAGCCAAACACAUUUACAAAAGAGCCCUUCCAAAAUAAAGACAGACUGAAAGGAAAGCAGGCGGCUAUUCUAAGAUUCUUAUCUGGAACAUCAGCGGGAACUCCAGACUUGGACCAAAGGCAGUUCACGACCUUUGUAGAAUUGCUUCAGACUCUUAAAAAAGGACAGUCCAGAUUUGCUUUUUCAUCCUGUAUGCCUUUUUCCUCUCUUGCUGCAGAGCUGGGUCAACAGGAAGCUCUAAAGCAGGGGAUGAGGCCAUGGACGUCCCUGAAAAUGUGCCUCCUCUCUCUGCAGAGAUCAGGAUCAUCCUGGUCUCAGCUCAGCACCUGGAGUGAAGAGUACUCCCAGCAGAGCCAGAGCGGUGAGCCCACCCCGUUGCCCACUUCUGCGUGUCCACCCAGACUUAAGGUUCCCCGCUUGAGGAGUGAAACCGCAGUGAACUCUCUCUGUUCUGGUUUGUGGAGGGGAAGAACAAUUUGAGCUGGUAAAGUGCUGAAGUUGCAUGAUUUUUUUUUAACCUCACAUCCCCAGUGUUGAAUUAAUUCACUCUCCUCAUUUCACGACACAUUAUUCUAAUUUGUCCUUGGGAAGGCUCUUCCAUUCCUU
rnacentral:lncRNA from 1 species